AGACUCACUUAGUAUAGCAGAUACAUAGUCACAAAGGUAUUUUUCCCAAGACAUAGUUUGUUGCACUUUGGAUAUGCUGACCCCUUUAAUUUCUGAAAAUGUGGAAAAUUUAACUGCAUAAUUUAUGGUAUUGGUAUUGCUUUCAAGCAGUUCUCU
rnacentral:snRNA from 1 species